UACGUAGGUGGCGAGCGUUGUCCGGAUUUACUGGGCGUAAAGGGAGCGUAGGCGGACUUUUAAGUGAGAUGUGAAAUACUCGGGCUCAACUUGAGUGCUGCAUUUCAUACUGGAAGUCUAGAGUGCAGGAGAGGAGAAUGGAAUUCCUAGUGUAGCGGUGAAAUGCGUAGAGAUUAGGAAGAACACCAGUGGCGAAGGCGAUUCUCUGGACUGUAACUGACGCUGAGGCACGAAAGCGUGGGGAGCAAAUAGG
rnacentral:rRNA from 1 species